AGCUUUGCGCAGUGGCAGUAUCGUAGCCAAUGAGGUUUAUCCGAGGCGCGAUUAUUGUUAAUUGAAAACUUUUCCCAAUACCCCGCCAUGACAACUUGAAAUAUAAUUGGCAUUGGCAAUUUUUGACAGUCUCUAUGGAGA
ensembl:snRNA U4 U4 spliceosomal RNA